UGGUAUUAUUAAAGUAACGGCCUCUAAGUUUAUAAAACCUAAAGGAUUAAACGAUGAGAAAAUCUUGUCUACAAAGUAACAACCUUUAUAAGACGAAAGUAAAAAAUUCGUCCUAAAGUGUCAAAGGUUCUGGAAAAACAGUAAGAUUCCUUUUACAUUGCAUAUUACGUGGCAGCACGUAUUUGCUGUGGUACUAGUAAAAAGUAGUGGGUCUGGUUUACUGUAGGUGUAGGGGGCGGUGGGGUAAAACCUAUCCUCCCUUACUACAGGCGAGCUAGACUAAAAGGUGACAUAAUAACCGUACCUAAAUACUAACGCAAGUAAGCUAGUAGAGAAUACGAAGGCGUUUGAGUGAACAAUCAUUAAGGAACUCGGCAAACUAACUACCGUAACUUAGGGAUAAGGAGAGCCAUUCCUCCUGAUUAAUAUCAGGUAAAGAAUAGGAAGCAUGGAAUAGUGUUGUACGACUGUUUAAUUAAAACAAAGCACUUUGCCUAUAAGAUAAUAAAUCAAAGUAUUGAGUGUGAUUUCUGCCCGAUGUCGGCUGGUUAACGGAUUAGCUAAGUUGACUAAAAUAAACUUGGUGUUGAAGGAAACCCCGAUCAAUGGCGGCCUUACCCUGAGGGUCCUAAGGUAGCGGAAUACCCUGGCCGUUAAAUGCGGUCUUGCAUGAAUGAUUUAACGAUACAACAGCUGUCUCAAUGAUUGGCUCAGUGAAAUUGGAAUAGCUGUGCAGAUACAGUUUACCUCUAGUUAGACGAGAAGACCCUAUGCAGCUUUACUGUUGCUAGUUAUUGAAUAUGAUUAAACUAUUUUUAGUAGUAUAAGGUAAUUGGUAAUGUAAUCGAUAUAGAUUUAAUGUUUAUCUACUAUAAAUUGUAGUAUAAGCAAGUAUAUAAAGAAACUAUUAGGAAGGCUUGCCAUAUAUUAAAGAGAGAUGUUUAAAUUGUGUUUUUUGAGGGUGAUGUAAAAAUCUCCCUCUAUUCAGUCAUCACAUGAACUCUUAGAGAAAUUCAGUAAUAAACGAAGUGAAUUGAAAUAUCUUAGUAACUUUAGGAAAAGAAAUCAAACGAGAUUCUACGAUUAAUGUGAAUUAAAGUAGAAGAGCCUAGAGUAUUAAAUAAUUAUUUUUGGGAAGCUUUGCUUAGCUUUGCCACCAUAAAUAAUUUUAAGCGAUGAAGAUUACUAAAUCGCUAUUAAUACUUUAAAUAAGUAAAACGGGCUAUAAACCUGUUUGAAUAUUAAGGGGAACCUUCCUCUAAGGCUAAAUAUAAUAUAUGAGCGAUAGUAAAAAGUUCUGUGAAGGAAGCGUUUUAUUAGUAGUUUUAUAAGCAGCUCAAGCAAAGUUUAAAUACGGAGUGAGAGCGUACCUUUUGCAUAAUGGGUCAGCAAGUUAAUGUUAGAUGCGAGCAGCAAUGCCUAGAUAAACCAAUUAUGAAAUAAUGAAUUAGUAUCUAAAAUUAGACCCGAAGCCUAGUGAUCUUACCAUGAUCAGGGUUAUAAAAGCCCGAACGGGUUAUCGUUGUAAAGAUAUCCGAUGAAUUGUGGUAAGUUAGUGAAAGACAAUACUGACUAGGAUAGCUGGUUUUCUGCGAAACCUAUAUAAGUAGGUAAUUUAAAUUACAUCAUAGCAGGUACAGAACUGUGAUCUCAGGCAACUUUAAACAUGUAUAAUAAAUUUAUUUAUUAUAUUGAUUAUUUUUGCACAUAUCGGGGGAUCGUGAAGAUUUUAUCGGUGAGUAUUCGCACUCGGAAGGGCAAUGAUGAAUUUUGAAUAAUCGGACAUAGUACGAUAAGGUUGUAUGUCUAAAGGGAAACAGCCCAGAACAAGAGUUAAGGUUCCAAAAUUAUUGUUAAGUGAAAUUAAGGAAGUUUCUAUCUAAUACGACUAGGAAAUAGGCUUAGAAGCGGCCAUUUUUUGAAGAUCUCGUAACAGAGCACUGGUUUAGUAAAUAGUUUACUAUUUACAUUGAUAGUGGCACCGAAAAUUUAACGGAUCUAAAUAAUAUACCGACACCUUGUCCAUAUAUAUAUAUAUAUUAUCAUAUUAUAUGGGGUAGCGGAACGUUGGGUAAAUUUUAGAUUUAAUCUUAAAGAGAUUAAUGAAUAAAUGACCCAAGUGAGAAUGCUGACAUGAGUAACGAAAAAGGGAUCAAAAAAUCCCUCGCCUAAAGCUUA
rnacentral:rRNA from 1 species